rnacentral:rRNA from 1 species
UUAAAGAGUUCUAUAACUCCCAAACCCAUGUGAACAUACCUAACGUUGCCUCGGCAGGUCGCACCUACCUUGUAGCACCCUACCCUGUAGGGCCUACCCGGGAGGUGCGGGUAAGCCUGCCGGCGGCCCACCAAACUCUGUUUGAUAUUGAAUUCUGAACCUAUAACUAAAUAAGUUAAAACUUUCAACAACGGAUCUCUUGGUUCUGGCAUCGAUGAAGAACGCAGCGAAAUGCGAUAAGUAAUGUGAAUUGCAGAAUUCAGUGAAUCAUCGAAUCUUUGAACGCAUAUUGCGCCCAUUAGUAUUCUAGUGGGCAGGACCGUUCGAGCGUCAUUUCAACCCUUAAGCCUUCGUUGCUUAGUGUUGGGAGCCUACGGCAACGUAGCUCCUCAAAGUUAGUGGCGGAGUUGGUUCACACUCUAGACGUAGUAAUUUUUUAUCUCGCCUAUUAGUUGGACUAAUCCCCUGCCGUAAAACCCCCAAUUUAUCAAGGUUGACCUCGAAUCGGUUCAGACAAACUCGCUAAAUUGAAGCAUCUUAGUCAGCGAAGGAAAAGAAACCAACAGGGAUUGCCCUAGUAACGGCGAGUGAAGCGGCAA